rnacentral:rRNA from 1 species
AUACGGAGGAUCCGAGCGUUAUCCGGAUUUAUUGGGUUUAAAGGGAGCGUAGGCGGGAGAUCAAGUCAGCUGUGAAAUGUAGGCGCUCAACGUGUGCACUGCAGUUGAAACUGGUUUUCUUGAGUGCGUAAGGGGCAGGCGGAAUUCGUCGUGUAGCGGUGAAAUGCUUAGAUAUGACGAAGAACUCCGAUCGCGAAGGCGGCUGUCGGGGCCGCAACUGACGCUGAAGCUCGAAGGUGCGGGUAUCGAACAGGAUUAGAUACCCUGGUAGUCCGCACAGUAAACGAUGAAUACUUGUUUUCGGCGAUAUAAUGUCGGAGGCAAAGCGAAAGCGAUAAGUAUUCCACCUGGGGAGUACGCCGGCAACGGUGAAACUCAAAGGAAUUGACGGGG